rnacentral:lncRNA from 1 species
CAUACAUAUGUAAUAUAAUGUGACGUGGCUUUGCAAUUUAAAAAUAAAUUAAUUCUCUAUGUCUAAUCUAUUUUCUAGGAGUUAUAAGAAGUAAAUGGUUUUGGGUAGGAGAGUCUGAUUUCCUGUGAAACGUAUUCUGCCACAUCCAGAGGGACAGAUUGUUAAUAGAAGCAUCAAGCUUUCAAAAUUAGAUAUUCAAUUGGAACAUUAACAUGGAACAAAAGGGUCCUGAUCUUUACAUUGUAUGAAAGAAAUUUAACUCAAGACUUCAAGAUUUCACUCUUCCGAUGUGUUAAAAUCUCACUCCUGUACCUGCCAGCUGUCAUUCUGAACAUUCUACACAUUCUCCCUAAAGUAUAAGAGAAAAAAAAAAGAUCACCUGAAGCUGGUUUUCCUCAUCACUUCAAAAGGUAUUUAAAUAUUUAUCUUGACAAGUUUGUAAUUAAGAAAGUGUGUAUGU